CGGGGUGUCCAUGUCCAUUAGCC
rnacentral:siRNA from 1 species